GACGAACGCUGGCGGCGUGCUUAACACAUGCCAGUCGAACGGAAAGGCCCUGCUUUUGUGGGGUGCUCGAGUGGCGAACGGGUGAGUAACACGUGAGUAACCUGCCCUUGACUUUGGGAUAACUUCAGGAAACUGGGGCUAAUACCGGAUAGGAGCUCCUGCUGCAUGGUGGGGGUUGGAAAGUUUCGGCGGUUGGGGAUGGACUCGCGGCUUAUCAGCUUGUUGGUGGGGUAGUGGCUUACCAAGGCUUUGACGGGUAGCCGGCCUGGGAGGAUGACCGGCAACAUGGGGACUGAGAUACGGCCCGGACUCCUACGGGAGGCAACAGUGGGGAAUAUUGCACAAUGGGCGGAAGCCUGAUGCAGCAACGCCGCGUGCGGGAUGACGGCCUUCGGGUUGUAAACCGCUUUCGCCUGUGACGAAGCGUGAGUGACGGUAAUGGGUAAAGAAGCACCGGCUAACUACGUG
rnacentral:rRNA from 1 species